CGUAAGUCAUAUAAUUUUUUUAAAAAAGUUUUUUCUUCAAUAUAACAUGACUUAUAACAUAAUAAUGUAUAAAUCCAAAAUUUUUAAUUUAUAUCAAAUUUAUAAUUAUAAAACCCCGGAAUGUAGUUACUUACAUUGUGAUUAAAACAAAUCUCACGAACACUCUUUAUAACGGGUGAAACUGUAUAUGUUUCACGAACGAAUGAGAAUCUAUUCAAUUUUGAAUUAACGGAUUAAACUAUUGUAUUUCAUUUAUUUUUUUAUCAUGUGCUAAAUUAAGUAAAGAAAAAGUGAGGCAUGUAUAUCUUCAAAUACCGAUUCUUACCACUAGAAAUGAAAAAAAAAACUAAUAAAAUUAAUCAAAAAUGUUUAAAGAUUUGCAUUUUUAUCUUAAAAAUUGCAUUGGUUUUAAGUGGUUGUCAAAAUAUCUAAGAAUAUGUCUUUUUAAUCACAUGUCUUUUCAUUUUAAGAGUUGCAUAGAUUUUUACAGAGUUAUCUUGUCGUCUAAUGAUGUGUUUUUUUUAUUCUAAAAUUUGCAACAGAUUUUUUAUUAGUCAUUAGAAAUGUCAAAAACGUAUCUAUUCAUUUAAAAACUGCAUAUGUUUUAAUGAGUUCUUUUCUUUCAUUUUCCUAUCUAUUUUAUGUACAUUUUAAAGAAUCUUAAAACUUGUCUAAAAUAAUCCGGUAAUUCGGUUUGUUGGGCACUUUAAUUAUUGUAUAAUAUUAUAUAAAAUAAGUAUAUAGUUUUAAAUUAUUUUUUAUGUUUAAUAAUCAUGUUUUGGUGCAGUUGUUUUUUGGGUUUAAUUUUGUUUAUUCAUAUUUCAGAUAAAAUGUCCGGGUCUAUUUAGAUAAUUUAUUUAUUGAUAGAUAAGUAUUAAGAAAAUGUACACCAAAAAAUAUUCUUAUAUAUGCACAUUUUAAUUUAUGAAUGGGUUUGAUAUAUGUGUUAUUUAUUAAUUAAAUCUUGAAUUUCACUUAAAUAAGAAAUGAUUAUUGGAGACUUAAAUGAAUAUUUGAUACCGUUUAACUGAACUAUUAUAAUUUUCUAGAUAUACAAUUUCAACUGAUAAAAUGAAACAUUGCAAUUUCUGGUGAUGGACCAUUACAAGUUUUAGUGAUGAAAAAUUGCAAUGUUUGGUGUUAACCAUUAUAACUCUUGGUUAACCUUUCGUGUAAAAUGAUGUGUCUUUUCAUCCUAAAUAUUGCAUAAGUUUUUAAGAGAUUGUUAUAAUAUAUAUAAGAAAGUGUAUUUAUAAGGAUGUGUCUUUUCAUGUUAAAAUUACAUUGAAUUUAAAAUAUUGUUAGAAAUGUAUAAUAAUUUGUCUUUUAUCAUAAACCUUAUAUAGAUUUUUUAAUAGUUAUCUUUUGUCUAAAGUUGUGUUUUCUAUUUUAUAAAAAUCAUAUAUUUUUAAAGGAUUCUCAAAAUGUCUUUGAGAAUUUAUUUUUUCAUCCUAAAGUUUGCAUAAGUUUUUAGUGAGUUAUUUUUAGUUUAUUUUCAUAUCUAUUUUAUAUACAUCUAAAGAAUAUUAACAUUCUCUACACAUAUUUGCGUAUAUGAUUUUGGGUAAUUUAAUUAUUUUUAUGAUAUUAUAUAUUUGUAAACCAUUACAACUAUUAGUGAUGGUAAACUUUGCAUGGUGAUGUACUAUUCUAACUAUGGUAAACCAUUAAAAUUAUUGGUAAUGGUAAACUUUGGUGAUAAACCAUUGCAACUUUUGGUAUUAAUAAUUAUAAUUUUUGACUAACUAUCGUAAUGUCUGGUUGUUGACCAUUGCAACUCUUUAUAAGGAGUUGUAAUAUUGACAAUCAUAAUUAAAAGUAAAUAGUGAAAUAAAAAGAGAUCCAUUUUGAAUUGAAUAUUAAAUAUCUUGAAGAGAAAACAUAAAUACGCAAAAUUUUAGUUAUUAUUCAUGUAUAUUAGCCUAUAACAGAAUGCAAAUUUGAUUGUCUUAUCCUACAAAAGAUCUUGUCUUAUUAUAUAUUAUUGCUAUCAAUAAUAGGUAAUAAUAAAUUUUCAAAAUUCUUAAAUAAUUUAGCUAAACGGAUAAUGAAACAUAUAUCUUAUUUGGUAUUGACAUAUUUCCAAUUAUAUUACCACGAAAAAUAUAAAAUAUAUAUUUUUAGUAUUAAAAAAAUAUAGUUGUAUACAACAUAAUUUUGUAAUACAUAUAUUUUCUCAAAAACAAUUGUAAACCGUUUUUAUAAAAGGUUAUUUUAUAAAAUAAAGCAUAUUUAGUUUUAUAAAAUAAGUUUCUGUGCGACAUUGCACGGGUUCCUUACCUAGUAAGAAAUAAAAAGAAGUCGUAUAUUGAUUGAAACCUGGGGGUAAUGAUGACAACACAUAAACAGAGUUACACAUGAUACAAAAUAAAAAUAGUUUGAAGCAACAUUGAUCAAAAAUAAAUUAGAUUAUUUUCAAAAUAUUUAAUUGAUACAAAUAAAUCAAAUCAAAUCUUCGCUUUGAGGAGAAAUAUAAAACUUAACAGAUUUUAUUAUAUUUUUUUCAUUGGAAUUUUGAAUUUUCUAAGAAAAUUUACGCUUAGACGUACUUUUUCUCACAUCCAUAUCACCCUAACGUACAUUCUCCAUGUGGAUGAAGUACUUUAUUAUCUUCUAUUGUCUAAACUACCCCAAAACCAGAACAAACUUAGUUAUAUCUUUUAUUUAAUCGUAGCACAAAAAUUAAAAAAAAAAUCUUUUUAUCGGGACCACUCCUCAUGAGUCAUUAUCCCAAUAUUUCUCAUCUGAAUACUAGAAAUCGACGAUUUUGUUCAGUCUCACCGUUGCUGUCCAAAAAUCACAGGGAUUCAACGGCUUUGUUAAUCACACAGUAAGAAUAGUUGAGGCCUCCAUAUCGCUCCUCCGACUCGACGAAGUUAUAAUCCGCCGCUAACUGCUCACCGCCGUUAACUUCUCACCGCUGUUAACUUCUCACUGACGUUAAUUUCUCAAUCCGCCGCUAUGUUCAAUCAUGCAAGACAAUGGUGUCUUUGGCUCUUGUGGUGAUUUAUGGAAGAUUUUUCUUUAGAUAGAUUUUUUGAACCUGAUUAGAUUUAGUCUUUCUGAGUUUUCAAUUUGAUCUAAAGUUGUGAAUUUUAUGGAAUUUGAAGUUCUAAUUCGAUUAAUGAAGUUAGCUAGUUUGGUGUUUGUGUGGAUAUUCAACUUGGUUGACCACAACUUCUUGUCAAUAUAUAACCAGUCAACCACAACUUCAUUUACGCCUAA